rnacentral:rRNA from 1 species
UACAGAGGUCUCAAGCGUUGUUCGGAUUCAUUGGGCGUAAAGGGUGCGUAGGCGGCGCGGUAAGUCGGAUGUGAAAUCUCGGAGCUUAACUCCGAAACUGCAUUCGAUACUGCCGUGCUUGAGGACUGGAGAGGAGACUGGAAUUUACGGUGUAGCGGUGAAAUGCGUAGAGAUCAUGAGGAAGACCAGUGGCGAAGGCGGGUCUCUGGACAGUUCCUGACACUGAGACACGAAGGCCAGGGGAGCAAACGGG